ACAAAACUUUUUGCUUCAGGACCACCACAUAAUCCAAAAAAUAUAUAUGUAUUAAAACUUUGGCAGAAUGAUGGCGUAUUAACGCUGAUGUUGACUUUUGUUCAUAUGUGAUCAUUUCUCGGCCUUUGCGAUUGAAUCUUCUGGAAGAAAAAAAAGAAUUGAUUGGAGUUAUCCAAUCAACACAUCAUUAAACCAAGAGCGCAGUAUAAAACAGCAGAAAACCAAGAUAUGACCAAUGAAUGGAUGCGUGCGCAUGUGCUAAUAUAUCAUCGUCACAAUUGAGAACAGCGACCAUGGUGGAUCAGAAAUAUGCAUUCCUUUAACGGACAACAUCCAACUAUAUAUUCCACAAAAAUGAACGCAAAAAAAAAA